rnacentral:rRNA from 1 species
GAUGAACGCUGACAGAAUGCUUAACACAUGCAAGUCGAUGGGGAAGUGGUGCUUGCACCAUGGCAACCAUGGCGGACGGGUGAGUAACGCGUAAGGGACUUACCUGCAGGACUGGGAUAACAGGGGGAAACUCCUGACAAGACCGGAUAAUGUCAUGGAGCUGCAUGGCUUUAUGAUGAAAGGAGACGCCUGCGGAGAGCCUUGCGUCCUAUUAGCUAGUUGGUGAGGUAAUGGCUCACCAAGGCGAAGAUAGGUAGCCGGCCUGAGAGGGUGGACGGCCACAAGGGGACUGAGAUACGGCCCUUACUCCUACGGGAGGCAGCAGUGGGGAAUAUUGGACAAUGGGGGCAACCCUGAUCCAGCAAUUCUGUGUGCACGAAGAGGGUUUUCGGAUUGUAAAGUGCUUUCAGCAGGGAAGAAGUGAGUGACGGUACCUGCAGAAGAAGCGACGGCUAAAUACGUG